rnacentral:rRNA from 1 species
GAUGAACGCUAGCUACAGGCUUAACACAUGCAAGUCGAGGGGAAACGACAUCGAAAGCUUGCUUUUGAUGGGCGUCGACCGGCGCACGGGUGAGUAACGCGUAUCCAACCUGCCCACCACUUGGGGAUAACCUUGCGAAAGUAAGACUAAUACCCGAUGAUAUCCCUAGACGACAUCUGAAAGGGAUUAAAGAUUUAUCGGUGAUGGAUGGGGAUGCGUCUGAUUAGCUUGUUGGCGGGGUAACGGCCCACCAAGGCAACGAUCAGUAGGGGUUCUGAGAGGAAGGUCCCCCACAUUGGAACUGAGACACGGUCCAAACUCCUACGGGAGGCAGCAGUGAGGAAUAUUGGUCAAUGGGCGAGAGCCUGAACCAGCCAAGUAGCGUGCAGGAUGACGGCCCUAUGGGGUUGUAAACUGCUUUUAUAAGGGAAUAAAGUGGGUCUCGUGAGACUUUUUGCAUGUACCUUAUGAAUAAGGACCGGCUAAUUCCGUG